rnacentral:lncRNA from 1 species
AUGAAUAAAUCAAAAAAAAAUACUACUACCCCCACUGCUAUAGAAAAGGAACAAAUAAAAGUCAGCGACCAGGAAGUAAAAAAAAUAUAUACAGGACAAAACAAAGAUGAGUCUUUUAAUUGUACGAAUGAUUUUGAACAUAAUAAAACACAUGUAUCAGUACAGGGAAAAGGAAGAAAAAGCAAAUAUUCAACUAAUCUUUAUAAUACGUAUAAAUAUUCAUCAACAGAUAAACAACAUGAAGAAGAAAGAUCAUCAACCAUUUAUGAUAAAUAUGAUAAGGAGGAUACAAAACAAUUAAAUGAACCGUGGUAUUAUGAAAAGAAUGAAAACGCAUGGGCUGAUAAAGUUCUACAAAGAAAUGAAGAACUUAUGGAAAAAUGGAGAAAUAAAACAAGACAAAGAAAUAUUGAAAAGGAAAGACAACUUUUUUAUGAAAAACAAAUGAUACUUAAAAAUGAAAUUUUAAAAAGAAGUGUUUUAGGAGAACCUAAAUUAACUGAAGAAGAAAUUAAUGCUUAUCUGUCUAAUGAAAAAAUAACAAAAAACAGUAGUAAUACUGAUACACAAAAUUAUUCAUCGAAUACAAAACAAGAAAUAAAAUUUCCACAAAAAAAUUGUCCGGUAAUACCUAUUAUCAUAAGAACUAAUUAUGUUGGAAUGUUUGAUAUUUUUUUAGACGAAUUUGAAAACUUACAAAAAAAACAUAAUGUUAAAAUAAUGGUUGUUCAUGGUGGUAUAGGUCCUAUCACACCAAAUGAUGUUGUGCAUGCUGAAGUAGAAAGUAAUUAUGGAUAUUGUUGUAUUUAUGCCUUUCAUGUUAAGGUGUUACCAGAUUCUGUAAAACAGGCGGUUCUUUCUAAUAUUGUGAUAAAACAGUUUGAUGUUUUUACAGAUGUUAUAAAUGAUAUUGUUCAAAGAAUCAAAAAUAUAAAAGCAUUAGUUGCGCAUAACAUGUAUGUAAGAAGUCUAAAAACUGAAGGAACACAAGAUGGUAUAUAA